AAUGACGCGCGCGAAUUCUGUGAGCUCUUCAAAAUUAAAGAAAUAAAUUAAAUUAAAUAAAAAUUAAACAUCCGCGACGUGAAAAAUAAUACAUAAAGGUGUCCUAGUGAAAGAAGAGAUUGAAGAGGAACAAGAAACUGCACCGGGAGCGUCGAUAGUCGGAGUUUCAGGGAACUCACACAACUGCAGGAAGCGGAUGAAUUGCCGCAAACACCAAAACAAAGGAUAGUGAAUGUGUAAAGAUUCCGAGCGAAAGAAAUAAGAUUACUUUGCCGAAUUUUGCUGUUUAAUAUAGUAAAUAGAUUAUGUUUUACUUGUACCUUAAAGAAAAUUGUUUACUAACCCUGAUAUGCCUUUAUAAGUUUAAACAUGUAAUUGUAAACAGGUAAACUUGCCUUUAAUCUUUAUUUUUAACUUCACGUUAAGAUUUUAAAUAUAAAUAUCUUGAUAUUUUGCCAGAAGUAAAGAAAUUUAAAAUUGUUUACAAUUAUAAAAUAAUCUUAAUUGGCUAGUUUCUAUAACUGUGUUCCCUGAUAAGGAAUAUUGUUAAAAAUUAAUAUAUUUGUUUGAAUAAAAGCCAAUAUUUUUGGGCUAAUUAUUAAAAACCAAA